rnacentral:rRNA from 1 species
UACGUAGGUGGCAAGUGUUGUCCGGAUUUAUUGGGCGUAAAGAGCUCGUAGACGGUUGGGUAAGUCGGGUGUGAAAACUCUGGGCUCAACUCAGAGACGCCACCCGAUACUGCUCUGACUUGAGUCCGGUAGGGGAGUGGGGAAUUCCUGGUGUAGCGGUGAAAUGCGCAGAUAUCAGGAGGAACACCGGCGGCGAAGGCGCCACUCUGGGCCGGAACUGACGCUGAGGAGCGAAAGCGUGGGUAGCAAACAGG